AUUAGUCCAAGUACUUAAAUGAUUCAAAAGAGGCUCCCACCCCCAGAAACUCUAUACAUGAAAUCCACCUCUCUCUAUGCUCAACAUCUCUUUCUAAAUCUCUCUCUUUCUUUUUCGCCUAAUAAGACAUAGCCUCGGAUUUCUUCACAAUCGAAAGUCUAAACAAUGUCUGAUCGUCCCGAAAUUUUAACCAAAGGUAGAUGACUCAUAAAGCAUCAUUCCUACUGAAGAAAAUUGAAUUUUAACGGUUAGAUCUUCUAAAAUUAAUUUUGGAAGUGGCUGCCGUUUUCUACAGUAGCAGUGUCGAUUUUCUACACGAUCGAGGGUACAAACGUUGUCCGAUCGUUCUGAAAUUUUAACGGAAGGAAGUUGGGAUUUCCUGAAGAUAUAAUACUAGCUUUGCGAAGAAGCUUUAGCUCGUUUUUGUAACAUCGUAAAUUAAAUAAAAUUAGUACAUUUCUCAUUUGAAGCGAAAUGACUAUAUUUUGCAAAUGGACAUUUAAUAUCCAUCUGAUUUAUAAAUGUACAUGGAUAAUUAUUUUAUCGCUUCAUGUA